rnacentral:rRNA from 1 species
CCUACGGGUGGCAGCAGUGGGGAAUAUUGCACAAUGGGCGCAAGCCUGAUGCAGCCAUGCCGCGUGUGUGAAGAAGGCCUUCGGGUUGUAAAGCACUUUCAGCGGGGAGGAAGGCGUUAAGGUUAAUAACCUUGUCGAUUGACGUUACCCGCAGAAGAAGCACCGGCUAACUCCGUGCCAGCAGCCGCGGUAAUACGGAGGGUGCAAGCGUUAAUCGGAAUUACUGGGCGUAAAGCGCACGCAGGCGGUCUGUCAAGUCGGAUGUGAAAUCCCCGGGCUCAACCUGGGAACUGCAUUCGAAACUGGCAGGCUAGAGUCUUGUAGAGGGGGGUAGAAUUCCAGGUGUAGCGGUGAAAUGCGUAGAGAUCUGGAGGAAUACCGAUGGCGAAGGCGGCCCCCUGGACAAAGACUGACGCUCAGGUGCGAAAGCGUGGGGAGCAAACAGGAUUAGAUACCCCUGUAGUC